rnacentral:tmRNA from 1 species
GGGGGCGAAAUAGGAUCGACGAGGGUGUAAAAGGUGGUCUUUCGCUCGGCAUGGUACCGCCGUUUUGGGCCAAAAUGAUAGUUGCGAAUGACAACUAUGCUGGUGCUCGUCCCGUCGCGAUUGCGGCGUAACUGCACCGAACUAAAGUCCUGAUGGCGUAGCUGCUAUUAGGCGCGGCUGGCGGGCGCCGGGCAACAGAAGCCCGCCAC